UCCCCCGAGCUCUUGCACUCUCUCUCUCUUCUUCCCUCUGCAAACGCCGGAAAACCCUAUCUCUGACCACCACCUUGCAAAACUACCACCGCCCAUCAAUGCAGCACCAAGAUACGACCCAAACCCAAGAGAAAUCGAAGCCAUGCAUCGACCCCAACCUCUCUCUUCCGUUCUCCUUCUCUCUGACACCACCGGAGACUCCAGCUCCGGCCACCAUCUCAUCACACUGCCUCCACCGGUCGACGCAACACCCAAACCCGACCAUAACCCGAGCCUUACCGCACACAUGCAUCGCCUCCAGCCUCCGCACAUGUUCCUCAAAGCAGCGACGCCACUGCUCGUUGGCUUUCCUUGAUUUCCGGCCAUCAGCUCACCACACCGCCAUCACUUCUCGACUCAGAACUCGCCGGACGUCUAAACCUUGAAUCCCUAUUGACUGCUGAUGCCGGAAAGCACCGUACACGUCUUAUGCCGGAGUCCUAGCUUCUGCUAAGAUCGAUUUGUCUCCUCCGAUCGAAAUUGAGCUGUGCCUCCACCAACGAGCUCGGGGCAAGCCGAUUGUCAAAGCCCAGAAGCCUCUCCACUAACCCGACGUCAGAGGAACCCGUAAGUGCCAUCACCGGAGCUCAAAGCUCUGGGUUUCAACGUUCUCCAAUAUCCAGCUCAAAGCAAGCUAAACCACCUUCAGAAAUAGAAUCAGUACCUCAAAAACCUCCAACCCUCAAAACCCCAAAAUCCGGGGCUGCUCCGAAACGUCACACGCGCCGCACGCGCCGCCGUUUGCGCGUGAAAGUUUGUAACUCCGCUGCCCACGACCGCCGGACUCUCAGAUUGACUUAACUAGGUAAUUUUCGACACCUCUCUUUGGUUGAGGCCUUUAUUCUAUUAUGAACUGGAAGCCCUAAUCGUGUGUUAUCCGAUUUGGAGGAAUUUGGAGGAAUUGAGGUUUGUGGAAUCUGCGUUUUUGGAGUUUUGGAGAAAGGAGAGAAACUGUUGGGUCAAUUCGAUUGAUAUCGUGAAAAGGAGGUUCGAAUGGUUGAUGGUGGUGAAGCACAGCCAUGUUAAGUUGACUGCAAGUUUGGAGAAGAAAAAUGGACUUGUGCGUGUGCCUUUGGAACCGGACGAAGUAUCGAAAGUCGAAAAGGAAGCUAAUUGUGGACGAGCACUCCAUAUCCAGUGUGCAGGUUUCGAGCAUGUGGUCGGGAAGCGUACAGGGGAGGCACAUGGCACGGCUUGGCGCAUUUCUCUUUAGUUUCAUCAAAAGAAGGUUUUGGUCCUUAAUCGGAUUUUGUAGUAACUUACCUAUUUACUUCUUAUUUAUUUGUUUGUUUUCUACUCACUUAUUUACAAAAUUCCGGGAGACCCGUAACC